GACUCAACGCCGGACAUCUCACCAGCCCCGACAUCAGUAAUGACAGUCAUGUUGACGACAUCCGCCCGAGCUGAUGAGAGGAGGUGCAUGGCCGCCGUCAGCUCGUACCGUGAGGCAUCCUGUUAAGUCAGGCAACGAGCGAGAUCCACAUCCCUAAUUGCCAGCACCAUCGCACGAUGGGUGGGUACAUUAGGGAGACUGCCAGUGCUAAACUGGAGGAAGGAAUGGGCAACGGUAGGUCAGUAUGCCCCGAAUGGGCUGGGCAACACGCGGGCUACAAUGGCGAGGACAACGGGUUCCAACACUGAAAAGUGACGGUAAUCUCGCAAACCUCGUCGUAGUUCGGAUUGCGGGCUGAAACUCGCCCGCAUGAAGCUGGAUUCGGUAGUAAUCGCGUUUCAGAAGAGCGCGGUGAAUACGUCCCUGCUCCUUGCACACACCGCCCGUCAAAGCACCCGAGUGAGGUCCGGAUGAGGCCACAUCACUGUGGUCGAAUCUGGGCUUCGCAAGGGGGCUUAAGUCGUAACAAGGUAACCGUA
rnacentral:rRNA from 1 species